rnacentral:rRNA from 1 species
GAUGAACGCUGGCGGCGUGCCUAAUACAUGCAAGUCGAGCGAAGCGGGGACGGGUGAGUAACACGUGGAUAACCUCCUAUAAGACUGGGAUAACUUCGGGAAACCGGCGCUGAACCGGAGACUUAGAGAGUGUUCCGUGGUGCAUUAGCUAGUUGGUAAGGUAACGGCUUAACAAGGCAACGAUGCAUAGCGGGCGUGAGAGGGUGGUCGGCCACACGGGAACUGAGACAGGGUCGAGACUCCUACGGGAGGCAGCAGUAGGGAAUCUUCCGCAAUGGGCGAAAGCCUGACGGAGCAACGCCGCGUGAGUGAUGAAGGUCUUCGGAGCGUAAAACUCUGUUAUUAGGGAAGCGGUACCUAAUCAAAAAGCCACGGCUAACUACGAGCCAGCCGCCGCGGUAAUAC